AGUGAACGCUGGCGGUAGGCCUAACACAUGCAAGUCGAACGGCAGCACAGUAAGAGCUUGCUCUUACGGGUGGCGAGUGGCGGACGGGUGAGGAAUACAUCGGAAUCUACUUUUUCGUGGGGGAUAACGUAGGGAAACUUACGCUAAUACCGCAUACGACCUACGGGUGAAAGCAGUGGAUCUUCGGACCUUUCGCGAUUGAAUGAGCCGAUGUCGGAUUAGCUAGUUGGCGGGGUAAAGGCCCACCAAGGCGACGAUCCGUAGCUGGUCUGAGAGGAUGAUCGGCCACACUGGAACUGAGACACGGUCCAGACUCCUACGGGAGGCAGCAGUGGGGAAUAUUGGACAAUGGGCGCAAGCCUGACCCAGCCAUACCGCGUGGGUGAAGAAGGCCUUCGGGUUGUAAAGCCCUUUUGUUGGGAAAGAAAAGCAGCAGGUUAAUACCCCGCUGUUCUGACGGUACCCAAAGAAUAAGCACCGGCUAACUUCGUG
rnacentral:rRNA from 1 species